AUGGCGGCGGCCUCGAGCACGGGGAUAAGUGCAGGCUGGGGAUGCAGGAGAGGUGCAACGCGGUGUUUGGAGCUCCCACGAGCUGGGUGCGGCGCAUCCGACGACGACAGACACAGGGACGCGUUGAUCCGGGUGUGGGUGCUCAAUUCGGUCCCGUUCUGGCCGGAUCCGUGGCGGUGCUCAUCUCCGGCGAGGUGGCCUGUGACUCGCGGGACGACGGCGGCGCAAGACCACAGGAGGGGCUCAUCUCAUGGGACAUGGGCGCGAGGUCUUGUUGGCUUCGGUUGCCGGUGGCUUGACGCAGGGGUGGCCGGGGUCCGGCGCCAUGGAGGCUCUUCGAGGACGAGGAAGCAGACAGCGACGACAACUUUGAGGCCGGCGGGGGCGCCGUCUCCGCGUUCGAUGGUCGGGGUCUAA
rnacentral:rRNA from 1 species